UACGAAGGGGGCUAGCGUUGCUCGGAAUCACUGGGCGUAAAGCGCACGUAGGCGGAUCUUUAAGUCAGGGGUGAAAUCCCGAGGCUCAACCUUGGAACUGCCUUUGAUACUGGGGAUCUCGAGUCCGGAAGAGGUGAGUGGAACUGCGAGUGUAGAGGUGAAAUUCGUAGAUAUUCGCAAGAACACCAGUGGCGAAGGCGGCUCACUGGUCCGGUACUGACGCUGAGGUGCGAAAGCGUGGGGAGCAAACAGG
rnacentral:rRNA from 1 species